rfam:Cricetulus griseus cell line CHO-K1, whole genome shotgun sequence.
UAGGCCAGUCAGGGCCAGGUGCCUCCCCCUGAGCCCAGGAUAACUCUUAACAUUGGGGGGCA